rnacentral:rRNA from 1 species
GACGAACGCUGGCGGCGUGCUUAACACAUGCAAGUCGAACGGAAAGGCCCUGCUUUUGUGGGGUGCUCGAGUGGCGAACGGGUGAGUAACACGUGAGUAACCUGCCCUUGACUUUGGGAUAACUUCAGGAAACUGGGGCUAAUACCGGAUAGGAGCUCCUGCCGCAUGGUGGGGGUUGGAAAGUUUCGGCGGUUGGGGAUGGACUCGCGGCUUAUCAGCUUGUUGGUGGGGUAGUGGCUUACCAAGGCUUUGACGGGUAGCCGGCCUGAGAGGGUGACCGGCCACAUUGGGACUGGGAUACGGCCCAGACUCCUACGGGAGGCAGCAGUGGGGAAUAUUGCACAAUGGGCGGAAGCCUGAUGCAGCAACGCCGCGUGCGGGAUGACGGCCUUCGGGUUGUAAACCGCUUUCGCCUGUGACGAAGCGUGAGUGACGGUAAUGGGUAAAGAAGCACCGGCUAACUACGUG